rnacentral:rRNA from 1 species
AUACGGAGGAUGCAAGCGUUAUCCGGAUUUAUUGGGUUUAAAGGGUGCGUAGGCUGUUCGGAAAGUCAGGGGUGAAAGCCCGGCGCCUAACGCCGGAACUGCCUUUGAUACUUCCGAGCUGGAAUACGGAUGCCGUGGGAGGAAUGAGUAGUGUAGCGGUGAAAUGCAUAGAUAUUACUCAGAACAUCGAUUGCGAAGGCAUCUCACGAAUCCGUCAUUGACGCUGAGGCACGAAAGCGUGGGGAUCAAACAGGAUUAGAUACCCUGGUAGUCCACGCAGUAAACGAUGAUGACUAACCGUCGGCGAUACACAGUCGGUGGCCAAGCGAAAGCGAUAAGUCAUCCACCUGGGGAGUACGUUCGCAAGAAUGAAACUCAAAGGAAUUGGCGGGG